CCUUGAAUUAUUGACUGAAAGUUGGAUUACAUCCUCUAGCCCUCUACCUGAGAGGUACACCCAUCAAAGCGUGACGCAGGUGUCCCAAGGUGGGCUCAAGGACAAAAGCCUCCCAUGGAGCAGAAGGGCAAAAGCUCGUUCAAUCUUGAUUUUCAGUAGAAAUACAGACCAUGAAAAUGAUCCUUCUGGCUUUUUCAGUUUUGAGCAGGAGGUGUCAGAAAAGUUACCACAGGGAUAACUGGCUUGUGGUGACCAAGCGUUCCUAGCAACGUCACUUGUUGGUCCUUUGAUGCCAGCUCUUCCUGUCACUGUGAAGCAGAGUUCACCAAGCGUGGGAUUGUCCACCCACAGGAGCUGGGAUUAGACUGUUAGUU
rnacentral:ncRNA from 1 species